rnacentral:lncRNA from 1 species
AUCUAAGGAAGUUGACAUGUCAUCACUUCAUUUUUUUGCGCCUGCGCAUAAAUCUGAGAAGCGUGAGUUUGUCAUCAUUGUUUAUCUAGACAUAGGAUAGGUUGUGUGAAAAUAUUACUGAUGUUUAACGUUAAAAAUGGACCAAAAGAUUAAUGCUAAACAACAUUUGACAUGUUUGAACGAACGUAAAUAGAUUAUUUACUAGGUUUUUUUAGCUUUUCGGCGUGAUUUUACACUCCCCCCACCACGUUUUGUGGGAGCAUAAUGAACGCUAAGUACUUGGUGUUAUUUGGACAUAAAUUAUGAACUUUGUCAAAAGAAACCACAUUUGUUCCGGACCUGGGAUGCCUUCCGGACCUGGGAUGCCUGCUUUCUGAUGGAGAUAAUCAAAGGGCCCCAGGACCAGUGGAAGCAAAACAGCCCCACAACAUCAAAGAUCCACCACCAUAUUCCACAGUAGCCUUGCAGACCUUUGGCAUUCUAGUUGUCAAUUUGUUGAGGUAAUCUGAAGAGAUUUCACCCCAUGCUUCCUGAAACACCUCCAACAAGUUGGAUUGGCUUGAUGGGCACUUCUUACGUACCAUAUGGUCUAGCUGCUUC